UGGGGAAUUUUGGACAAUGGGCGAAAGCCUGAUCCAGCAAUGCCGCGUGUGUGAAGAAGGCCUUCGGGUUGUAAAGCACUUUUGUCCGGAAAGAAAUCCUUGGCUCUAAUACAGUCGGGGGAUGACGGUACCGGAAGAAUAAGCACCGGCUAACUACGUGCCAGCAGCCGCGGUAAUACGUAGGGUGCAAGCGUUAAUCGGAAUUACUGGGCGUAAAGCGUGCGCAGGCGGUUUGCUAAGACCGAUGUGAAAUCCCCGGGCUCAACCUGGGAACUGCAUUGGUGACUGGCAGGCUAGAGUAUGGCAGAGGGGGGUAGAAUUCCACGUGUAGCAGUGAAAUGCGUAGAGAUGUGGAGGAAUACCGAUGGCGAAGGCAGCCCCCUGGGCCAAUACUGACGCUCAUGCACGAAAGCGUGGGGAGCAAACAGGAUUAGAUACCCUGGUAAUCCACGCCCUAAACGAUGUCACUAGUUGUUGGGGAUUCAUUUCCUUAGUAACGUAGCUAACGCGUGAAGUUGACCGCCUGGGGAGUACGGUCGCAAGAUUAAAACUUAAAUGAAUUGAC
rnacentral:rRNA from 1 species